GUCUACGGCCACACCACCCUGGACACGCCUGAUCUCGCCUGAUCUCGGAAGCUAAGCGGGUCGGGCCUGGUUAGUACUUGGACGGGCGAGGAUGUGAGUGUGCGUGUGAGACG
rnacentral:rRNA from 1 species